ACUCCUACGGGAGGCAGCAGUGGGGAAUAUUGCACAAUGGGCGCAAGCCUGAUGCAGCCAUGCCGCGUGUAUGAAGAAGGCCUUCGGGUUGUAAAGUACUUUUCAGCAGAUGAGGAAGGUAGUGUAGUUAAUAGCUCGCAUUAUUUGACGUUAGCUGCAGAAGAAGCACCGGCUAACUCCGUGCCAGCAGCCGCGGUAAUACGGAGGGUGCGAGCGUUAAUCGGAAUUACUGGGCGUAAAGCGCAUGCAGGUGGUUUGUUAAGUCAGAUGUGAAAGCCCGGGGCUCAACCUCGGAAUAGCAUUUGAAACUGGCAGACUAGAGGUACUGUAGAGGGGGUAGAAGUUUCAGGUGUAGCGGUGAAAGUGCGGUAGA
rnacentral:rRNA from 1 species